rnacentral:rRNA from 1 species
AUACGGAGGAUCCAAGCGUUAUCCGGAUUUAUUGGGUUUAAAGGGUGCGCAGGCGGCCUUAUAAGUCAGUGGUGAAAUCUCCCGGCUCAACCGGGAAACUGCCAUUGAUACUGUAAGGCUAGAAUACAGACGAGGUAGGCGGAAUGUAGCAUGUAGCGGUGAAAUGCUUAGAUAUGCUACAGAACACCAAUCGCGAAGGCAGCUUACCAGACUGUAAUUGACGCUAAGGCACGAAAGCGUGGGGAGCGAACAGGAUUAGAAGCCCCGGUAGUCC